rnacentral:rRNA from 2 species
GACGUAGGUGGCGAGCGUUGUUCGGAAUCACUGGGCAUAAAGCGCACGUAGGCGGCUAGGUCAGUCGGAUGUGAAAUACCUCGGCUCAACCGAGGAACUGCGUCCGAUACUGCCUGGCUUGAGGUCCGGAGGGGAGAGUGGAAUUCCCGGUGGAGCGGUGAAAUGCGUAGAGAUCGGGAAGAACGCCGGCGGCGAAAGCGACUCUCUGGUCGGAAUCUGACGCUGAGGUGCGAAAGCUAGGGGAGCAAACGGG